UCUUUGCAGAGCUCAGGACUUGUGCAUUAUUUGAGCAGUGUGAGUUCAUUUUAGAUCAAGGUGUAGGUGCAUUCUUCUUCUCCCAGCUUGUGCAUCACUCUCAAUUGAAGGUCUUUCACGAACCCAAAGAAGUCGACAAUUAGGAAUACAACUAAUUGAUGGAUGAGCUUCUUUGUUGGGGUUG